GAUGAAGAACGUAGCGAAAUGCGAUAAGUAAUGUGAAUUGCAGAAUUCAGUGAAUCAUCGAAUCUUUGAACGCACAUUGCGCCCAUUAGUAUUCUGGUGGGCAUGCCUGUUCGAGCGUCAUUUCAACCCUUAAGCCCCUGUUGCUUAGCGUUGGGAGCCUACAGCCUGCUGUAGUUCCUCAAAGUUAGUGGCGGAGUCAGUUCACACUCUAGACGUAGUAAAAUCUUUAUCUCGCCUAUAGAUGAGCUGGCGCCUUGCCGUAAAAACACCUAAUCUUUUACAAGGUUGACCUCGGAUCAGGUAGGAAUACCCGCUGAACUUAAGCAUAUCAAUAAGCGGAGGA
rnacentral:misc_RNA from 1 species